UGCUGGAAUUAAAGAUGUGCACCACCACAUCUGGUUUCAUAUAAAAUAGUAAAAAAUUUUGGGCCAGUGAGAUGGCCAGGGAGCUCAGUAUGUAAGAGCCAGCUGUGCAAAUCUGAUGAUGAGAGCUUGGUCCCUGGAAUCCAGGUACCAAGUAGCAUGGAGGUGCGUGGUUUUAACCCCAGAACUUGGGAAGCAGACGCAGGAGGAUCUCAAUGAGUUUGAAUCUAGCUGGUCUACCUAGGGCUUCACACUGAGCUCUGUCUCAAAACCAAAAUAGAGAUGACUGAUAAUAUUUUUGUGGUUUCUCGUAAAUACAUAAAGGAAGUAAAGAGUUCUGCCAAUUGGAUGCACAUAUGCAUAGUAUACACCACUGGCAGGACACUAAUCUCAAUCUAGGAAUGUGUAUAUCUUUCAUACAGAAACAGACAGACAAUGCAUUUACACAAAUUUCCACAAGCACUAGCAACUAAAGAAUGGAAAAAGACACAAACUAGCACUUCACAGAAGAGGGAACACAUUGGACAGUAACCAGGAAGAGGACUGUGGAAGAGGCUCAGCAGAAAAGGACCCUUCCAUAAUUUCCUAUUUCUCUGAAGAUUUGGUGUCCCUUCAACUUGCUGACCUACACCUGAAGUCUGGAUCCAUGAGGAAGAAAUAAAGAAAUACAUUACUUCA